CAGUCGCCGCGGGAAUACGGAGGAUCCAAGCGUUAUCCGGAAUCAUUGGGUUUAAAGGGUCCGUAGGCGGUCUUGUAAGUCAGUGGUGAAAGCCCAUCGCUCAACGGUGGAACGGCCAUUGAUACUGCAGGACUUGAAUUAUUGGGAAGUAACUAGAAUAUGUAGUGUAGCGGUGAAAUGCUUAGAGAUUACAUGGAAUACCAAUUGCGAAGGCAGGUUACUACCAAUUGAUUGACGCUGAUGGACGAAAGCGUGGGUAGCGAACAGGAUUAGAUACCCCCGUAGUCCAUGUCUCUUAUAC
rnacentral:rRNA from 1 species